CGAGCCGUGCGGGCGGUCGCGGUGUGGCCUCGCAGCCACGUCGAGGAACGUCCGGACUCCGCAGAGCAGGGUGGUAGGUAACACCUACCUGGGGCGACCCACGGGAAAGUGCCACAGAAAGCAGACCGCCGGAGCCUUCAGACGGCAUCCGGUAAGGGUGAAACGGUGGUGUAAGAGACCACCAGCGCCCAGGGUGACCUGGGCGGCUCGGUAAACCCCACCCGGAGCAAGGUCAAGAGGGGCCGCCGCGAGGCGGCCCUGCGCGGACGCACGAGGGCUGCUCGCCCGAGUCCGCGGGUAGACCGCACCGAGGUCGAUGGUGACAUCGGCCCCAGAUGGAUGACCGCCUCCCGAGGGCCCGCGAGGACCCCCGGAGACAGAAUCCGGCGUACAGCACGACUCGUCUG
rnacentral:RNase_P_RNA from 2 species